UCCGUAGGUGAACCUGCGGAAGGAUCAUUAAAUCGUAUUGUCAGGCCCCAGUUGGAAUUGUGCAUCUGCGCUCUACUAACUAGUGCUGUCUGAACAUUACCCUGUUUUUUGCGUACCCACUUGUUUCCUCGGCAGGCUCGCCUGUCAGUAGGACCUUUUUUAAACCUUUUUGUAAUAGUAGUCAGCGUCAAAUAAUAAUUUAAUUAUUACAACUUUCAACAACGGAUCUCUUGGUUCUGGCAUCGAUGAAGAACGCAGCGAAAUGCGAUAAGUAGUGUGAAUUGCAGAAUUCAGUGAAUCAUCGAAUCUUUGAACGCACAUUGCGCCCCUUGGUAUUCCAUGGGGCAUGCCUGUUCGAGCGUCAUUUAAACCUUCAAGCCUUGCUUGGUGUUGGGUGAUUGUCCCCGUUAUCGUGCGGACUCGCCUGAAUUUAAUUGGCAGCCGUCUAUCUGGCUUCGAGCGCAGCACAUUUUGCGACUCUUACCAUGAAAGGCGACAUCCAUAAAGCGCCUAUACUUAUUUUGACCUCGGAUCAGGUAGGGAUACCCGCUGAACUUAAGCAUAUCAAUAAGCGGAGGA
rnacentral:rRNA from 1 species